ACGGGAGGCAGCAGUGAGGAAUAUUGGUCAAUGGGCGAGAGCCUGAACCAGCCAAGUAGCGUGCAGGAUGACGGCCCUAUGGGUUGUAAACUGCUUUUAUGUGGGAAUAAAGUGACUUACGUGUAGGUUUUUGCAUGUACCACAUGAAUAAGGACCGGCUAAUUCCGUGCCAGCAGCCGCGGUAAUACGGAAGAUGCGAGCGUUAUCCGGAUUUAUUGGGUUUAAAGGGAGCGUAGGCGGGUCUUUAAGUCAGUGGUCAAAGCGUGUGGCUCAACCAUACCACGCCAUUGAUACUGGAGACCUUGAGUGCACAUAAGGAUGGUGGAAUUCGUCGUGUAGCGGUGAAAUGCUUAGAUAUGACGAAGAACUCCGAUUGCGAAGGCAGCUGUCCGGGGUGUAACUGACGCUAAUGCUCGAAAGUGCGGGUAUCAAACAGGAUUAGAUACCCUGGUA
rnacentral:rRNA from 1 species